UUGCCAUCCCUAAGUUUAUAUGAUUAUCUUCUUUUCCAUAUUUAUUUCAAUAACAAGUGGUAAGUAAUUUUUAUUUUCGCUUUUAAAUUCGUUGAACUCUAGUAUCUUAAAAUUUAGUUUGAUGUAAUGGUAUUUCUAUACAAAAUUGAAUAUUAUAUUUUUAUAUUAUUUUAUAGGGUUAUAAAUAAAAUAAUUCUUUGAUAAACAUAGAGUAUUCAUUAGUGUGAUUUUUGACGAAUUAACAACAGCACAACACUAUUUUACACUAUUUUCAAAUAUUCUAAAAAUCUUACAUUAGGAUGUAUACUAAAAAAAAGUCAUAUUUUUGCAUGAUUUUUAGAUUUUCCCUUCUCUAUUAUGAAGGGAUAAAAUAGAAAUAAAAAAAUAUAAUGGAAGGUCAAGUUAUAAAUUGAAUGAGCUAAAGAGACAUAUGUUUUAUACAUACAUCUAAGAAACAUUAAUUUAAUAAUUAUAAUGAUUUUAAGAAUAGUACUUCAUAUUAACAAACAUGAAUUUUGUUUCACACUAUAAAGCUAACAAAUGAUUCUAAUUUCCAAAUUUAUAAAAGAGAAAGCUAUGGUUAAAGUUUAUAUGUUUAUUUAUGCUAUGAUUAUCUUCUUUUCCAUAUUUAUUUCAAUAACAAGUGCUACGUGCCGAAAUAACAUGGAUUGUCAACAUCAUCUAUGUGUCGACGCUGGCGAUAUUCCAGUCUGCAUCUUUUGGGUUACGGAGCCCGACUUUUUAAGGACCGAGUUUGGGAUUUGUGCUUGUGUUGGGAAGGUCACAGCACACAAAAUUAGUGGCUAGCUUGUGAAUGUAUACAUAUUUAUAAAGAUGCUGUAAAAGUUAAUUAAAAUAAAAAUAAAAUUAUGUUGCUGCUCUUA